rnacentral:rRNA from 1 species
UACGUAGGGGGCGAGCGUUGUCCGGAAUCAUUGGGCGUAAAGAGCGUGUAGGCGGCCCGGCAAGUCUGGUGUGAAAUCUUGAGGCUCAACCUCAAGCUGUCACUGGAAACUGUCGGGCUUGAGUCCGGAAGAGGAGAGUGGAAUUCCUGGUGUAGCGGUGGAAUGCGCAGAUAUCAGGAGGAACACCCGUGGCGAAGGCGGCUCUCUGGUACGUGACUGACGCUGAGACGCGAAAGCGUGGGGAGCGAACAGG